UUAGUACUAGCAGCUAGUUAGUUAGUGUGUUCUGUUCUUAGUACUAGGGAGACGUACAGAGGUGUGUGUUCUGUUCUUAGUACUAGGGAGACGUACAGAGGUGUGUGUUCUGUUCUUAGUACUAGGGAGACGUACAGAGGUGUGUGUUCUGUUCUUAGUACUAGGGAGACGUACAGAGGUGUGUGUUCUGUUCUUAGUACUAGGGAGACGUACAGAGGUGUGUGUUCUGUUCUUAGUACUAGGGAGACGUACAGAGGUGUGUGUUCUGUUCUUAGUACUAGGGAGACGUACAGAGGUGUCUGUUCUUAGUACUAGCAGCUAGUUAGUUAGUGUGUUCUGUUCUUAGUACUAGCAGCUAGUUAGUGUGUUCUGUUCUUAGUACUAGGGAGACGUACAGAGGUGUGUGUUCUGUUCUUAGUACUAGGGAGACGUACAGAGGUGUGUGUUCUGUUCUUAGUACUAGGGAGACGUACAGAGGUGUGUGUUCUGUUCUUAGUACUAGGGAGACGUACAGAGGUGUGUGUUCUGUUCUUAGUACUAGCAGCUAGUUAGUGUGUUCUGUUCUUAGUACUAGCAGCUAGUUAGUUAGUGUGUUCUGUUCUUAGUACUAGCAGCUAGUUAGUGUGUUCUGUUCUUAGUACUAGGGAGACGUACAGAGGUGUGUGUUCUGUUCUUAGUACUAGCAGCUAGUUAGUGUGUUCUGUUCUUAGUACUAGCAGCUAGUUAGUUAGUGUGUUCUGUUCUUAGUACUAGCAGCUAGUUAGUGUGUUCUGUUCUUAGUACUAGGGAGACGUACAGAGGUGUGUGUUCUGUUCUUAGUACUAGGGAGACGUACAGAGGUGUGUGUUCUGUUCUUAGUACUAGGGAGACGUACAGAGGUGUGUGUUCUGUUCUUAGUACUAGGGAGACGUACAGAGGUGUGUGUUCUGUUCUUAGUACUAGGGAGACGUACAGAGGUGUGUGUUCUGUUCUUAGUACUAGGGAGACGUACAGAGGUGUGUGUUCUGUUCUUAGUACUAGCAGCUAGUUAGUGUGUUCUGUUCUUAGUACUAGGGAGACGUACA